rnacentral:rRNA from 1 species
AACGAACGCUGGCGGCAGGCCUAACACAUGCAAGUCGAGCGAGGACUUCGGUUCUAGCGGCGGACGGGUGAGUAACGCGUGGGAGUGUGCCCUUCUCUACGGAAUAGCCCUGGGAAACUGGGAGUAAUACCGUAUACGCCCUAUUGGGGAAAGAUUUAUCGGAGAAGGAUCAGCCCGCGUUGGAUUAGGUAGUUGGUGGGGUAAUGGCCUACCAAGCCGACGAUCCAUAGCUGGUUUGAGAGGAUGAUCAGCCACACUGGGACUGAGACACGGCCCAGACUCCUACGGGAGGCAGCAGUGGGGAAUCUUAGACAAUGGGGGCAACCCUGAUCUAGCCAUGCCGCGUGAGUGAUGAAGGCCUUAGGGUUGUAAAGCUCUUUCAGCUGGGAAGAUAAUGACGGUACCAGCAGAAGAAGCCCCGGCUAACUCCGUG